ACAGCGGAUGCCGAAAAGCUGUGAAAUAGAGUAGGCA
rfam:Bacteroidetes bacterium GWF2_33_38 gwf2_scaffold_549, whole genome shotgun sequence.